CAUAUAUUUUAAUAGAACUCCUCUUCUUUAGGAAUAGGUAUUCAAGUAUUCAGACGUUUCUGAGUACUGAUACAGAGCUCAUUCUCGAGGCAGCAAAUGAAGCGCACAUGAAGGAUGGAACACUACUGGAAAAUCUGUCUGAAAGGAUAUUGAGCACACUCAGGAAGAGUUUGGAAGAAUUGCAACUGUUGCUCUUGAGUCCACCUUUAUGCAGAAGCUGGAUGAAUAUACACCAAAAUUAUUGGACUUGUUUAAGUCAAGAGGAGGUGCUGUAAAGGAGGACAUGCAGAAAAUCCUUGAAGUCCUGUACGGGUGCAACACCAUCUAGGAAAGAAGAGACCGUGUGAUCUGUGACCUGAUCAUAUCCCCCGGCGAGAGAGUUGGAGACCUUAUCACAGAAUACAAGGAUGCUGACAACACCAUGAUCCGAGAGGACCUCGUUCAGCAUGUGAUGGUGUCAUGUGAUCAAGGAGCACUGUGAAGGAUCUGCAUCGAAGGAGCAGAGGUCCUGGCUGGUAUUCCAGUCAUGUAACUUGCUUAUGGGCCUCAGAUUUAAGCCAUAGAUAAGGUACCCCAAAGAACUGAAGUAUACCUUUUGAGGUGGUCCAACAAGUAUUCUUUGAACUUGAUGAUCUUAGGACAUCCCUAUGGGUCCAAGCUCUAAAAAUGAAGUUACUUGUUUUCAAAGAUAUCUGAGAACUCUCAAAUGGCCACUCACAAACUGUGGUCUAAACCCUACUCAGUAAGCUGAAAAGCUAGGUGGUAUAGGAGCUACAGCUUACAUGAUGACAACUUACUCCAUAUGCACUAGUGGAUAUCUGAGUUUUUUUGUCAGGUGUAAGCUAUCUGGAUGUAACUUUACCUAAGGAGGCAAGGUAUAGUUAUACCCAGAAUGCUUACAGAUGAUUGUCACAGCUGGCUGAAGGACUGGACCAAAGUGCAGCAUGGUAAGUGUACAUUUUCUCUUUAUUCAAAAAUGAC